AUUGCCCUAGUAACGGCGAGUGAAGCGGCAACAGCUCAAAUUUGAAAUCUGGCCCCAGGCCCGAGUUGUAAUUUGCAGAGGAUGCUUUGGGCGCGGCGCCUUCCGAGUUCCCUGGAACGGGACGCCACAGAGGGUGAGAGCCCCGUCUGGUUGGAUGCCUAGCCUGUGUAAAGCUCCUUCGACGAGUCGAGUAGUUUGGGAAUGCUGCUCUAAAUGGGAGGUAUAUGUCUUCUAAAGCUAAAUACCGGCCAGAGACCGAUAGCGCACAAGUAGAGUGAUCGAAAGAUGAAAAGCACUUUGAAAAGAGGGUUAAACAGUACGUGAAAUUGUUGAAAGGGAAGCGCUCGUGACCAGACUUGGGCUUGGCGAAUCACCCGGCGUUCUCGCCGGGGCACUUUGCCGGUCCAGGCCAGCAUCAGUUCGCCGCGGGGGAUAAAGGCUUCGGGAAUGUGGCUCCCUCGGGAGUGUUAUAGACCGUUGCGUAAUGCCCUGGGGUGGACUGAGGUUCGCGCUCCGCAAGGAUGCUGGCGUAAUGGUCAUCAGCGACCCGUCUUGAAACACGGACCAAGGAGUCGUCUUCGUAUGCGAGUGUUCGGGUGUCAAACCCCUACGCGUAAUGAAAGUGAACGCAGGUGAGAGCUUCGGCGCAUCAUCGACCGAUCCUGAUGUUCUCGGAUGGAUUUGAGUAAGAGCAUACGGGGCCGGACCCGAAAGAAGGUGAACUAUGCCUGUAUAGGGUGAAGCCAGAGGAAACUCUGGUGGAGGCUCGCAGCGGUUCUGACGUGCAAAUCGAUCGUCAAAUAUGGGCAUGGGGGCGAAAGACUAAU
rnacentral:rRNA from 1 species